rnacentral:lncRNA from 1 species
AAAGGUAGGCAGGUGUUUAGGUCCACCUUAGAUGAUUAUACUAAUCCUGCUUAUCACAUUAGACGAAACUUACAUUAUAAUUUAAUCGAAUCCCUGUUUUUAAUUGAAUUUACAUGAGCUUAGGUCAUCAUUGUUGCAAGUCGUCAUUAACAGUCAAUCACAGUCACACAAAAUACCGUGAAAAUCCAGAGUCUGGUCACUUCUGCCCAGAGACAGCGUGAGCUGGCAGCUUGAAUGUGUGCUAAUGUCUGAUGAGAGAGAGAGAGAGAGAGAUACACUGCCCAGAGUUUAUAGCUUCCAAUCUAAUAGGCCCACUGAGUGUGCUGUAGUUACUGAUGUUGUUAUAGGUGCAGUUGUUUCUGAAGAUGUAACCAUAGUUGUUGAAGUAAGAUUUGUGAAUUCUGAAGUUACAGCUCUUGAUGUUGUUGGAUCCUGCUGUUGUACUUUCUGAAGUUGUAGGCAUUGUUGUUGAAGUAAUAGUUGUGGUUUCUGUACUCACAACUGUGCUUGUGGGACUUUCAGUAGUUGAGUGUGCUGUAGUUACUGAUGUUGUUAUAGGUGCAGUUGUUUCUGAAGAUGUAACCAUAGUUGUUGAAGUAAGAUUUGUGAAUUCUGAAGUUACAGCUCUUGAUGUUGUUGGAUCGUUUGUUGUUGUAGAUGUGGUUGAUGAAGCUGUAGUCAUGGGUUCCGCUCUUGUACUUUCUGAAGUUGUAGGCAAUGUCGUUGAAGUAAAUGUUGUGGAUUCUGGAGUUACUGCUGUUGAUGUUGUUGGAUCGUUUGUUGUUGUAAAUGUGGUUGAUGAAGCUGUAGACGUGGUUUCCACUGUUGUACUUUCUGAAGUUGUAGGCAUAGUUGUUGAAGUUAGAGUUGUGGGUUCAGAAGUUACAGCUGCUGAUGUUGUUGGAUCAUUUAUUGUGGUAGAUGUGGUUGAUGAAGCUGUUAGUCGUAGGUUCCGAUCUUAUACUUUCUGAAGUUGUAGGCAAUGUUGUUGAAAUAAAUGUUGUGGAUUCUGGAGUUACUGGUGUUGAUGUUGUUGGAUCGUUUGUUGUUGUAGAUGUGGUUGAUGAAGCUGUAGUUGUGGUCUCUGCUGUUGUUCUUUCUGAAGUCACAGGCAGUGUUGUUGAAGUAAUAGUUGUGGUUUCAGUCCUCACAACUGUGCUUGUGGGACUUUCAGUAGUUGAGUGUGCUGUAGUUACUGCUGUUGUUACAGGUGCAGUUGUUUCUGAAGAUGUAGGCAUAGUUGUUGAAGUAAGAGUUGUGGAUUCUGAAGUUACAGCUGUUGAUGUUGUUGGAUCGUUUGUUGUUGUAGAUGUGGUUGAUGAAGCUGUAGUUGUGGUCUCUGCUGUUGUACUUUCUGAAGUUGUAGGCAGUGUUGUUGAAGUAAUGGGUGUGUUUUCGGUCCUCACAACUGUGGUGGUGGGAAUUUCAGUAGUUGAUGAUGCUGUAUUUACUGAUGUUGUUACAGGUGCAGUUGUUUCUGAAGAUGUAGGCAUAGUUGUUGAAGUAAGAGUUGUGGGUUCAGAAGUUACAGCUGUUGAUGUUGUUGGAUCGUCUGUUGCUGUAGAUGUGGUUGAUGAAGCUGUAUUCGUGGUUUCUGCUGUUGUACUUUCUGAAGUCAUAGGCAGUGUUGUUGAAGUAAUAGGUGUGGUCUCUGUACUCACAACUGCGGUUGUGGGAAUUUCAGUAGAUGUGGAAGCUGUAGUUACUGAUGUUGUUACAGGUGCAGUUGUUUCCGAAGAUGUAGGCAUAGUUGUUGAAGUAAGAGUUGUGAGUUCAGAAGUUACAGCUGUUGACUCGUCGUUGGAUCUAUUGUGUUGUAGAUGUGGUUGAUGAAGCUGUAGUUGUGUUUCUGCUGUUGUACUUCUGAAGUUGUAGGCAUUGUUGUUGAAGUAAUAGUUGUGGUUUCUGUACUCACAACUGUGCUUGUGGGACUUUCAGUAGUUGAGUGUGCUGAUCAUUUGUUGUUGUAGAUGUGGUUGAUGAAGCUGUAGUUGUGGUUUCUAUUGUUGUACUUUCUGAAGUUGUAGGCAUUGUUGUUGAAGUAAUAGUUGUGGUUUCUGUACUCACAACUGUGCUUGUGGGACUUUCAGUAGUUGAGUGUGUUGUAGUUACUGAUGUUGUUAUAGGUGCAGUUGUUUCUGAAGAUGUAACCAUAGUUCGUUGAGUAAGAUUUGUGAAUUCUGAAGUUACAGCUCUUGAUGUUGUUGGAUCGUUUGUUGUUGUAGAUGUGGUUGAUGAAGCUGUAGUCAUGGGUUCCGCUCUUGUACUUUCUGAAGUUGUAGGCAAUGUCGUUGAAGUAAAUGUUGUGGAUUCUGGAGUUACUGCUGUUGAUGUUGUUGGAUCGUUUGUUGUUGUAAAUGUCAUAGGCAGUGUUGUUGAAGUAAUAGGUGUGGUCUCUGUACUCACAACUGCGGUUGUGGGAAUUUCACUAGUUGACAAUGCUGUAGUUGUUGAUGUUGUUACAGGUGCAGUUGUUUCUGAAGAUGUAGGCAUAGUUGUUGAAGUAAGAGUUGUGGGUUCAGAAGUUACAGCUGCUGAUGUUGUUGGAUCAUUUAUUGUUGUAGAUGUGGUUGAUGAAGCUGUAUUCGUGGUUUCUGCUGUUGUACUUUCUGAAGUUGUAGGCAGUGUUGUUGAAGUAAUAGGUGUGGUCUCUGUACUCACAACUGCGGUUGUGGGAAUUUCACUAGUUGACAAUGCUGUAGUUGUUGAUGUUGUUACAGGUGCAGUUGUUUCUGAAGAUGUAGGCAUUAGUGUUGAAGUAAGAGUUGUGGGUUCAGAAGUUACAGCUGUUGAUGUUGUUGGUAUCGUCUGUUGCUGUAGAUGUGGUUGAUGAAGCUGUAUUCGUGGUUUCUGCUGUUGUACUUUCUGAAGUCAUAGGCAGUGUUGUUGAAGUAAUAGGUGUGGUCUCUGUACUCACAACUGCGGUUGUGGGAACUUUCACUAGUUGUACAAUAGCUGUAGUUGUUGAUGUUGUUACAGGUGCAGUUGUUUCUGAUGAUGUAGGUAUUGUUGUUGAAGUAAGAGUUGUGGAUUCUGAUGUUACAGCUAUUGAAGUUUUUGGAUCGUUUCUUGUAGAUGUAGUUAAUGAAGCUGUAGUUGUGGUUUCCACUCUUUUUAGCUGUAGCAGUGGAAUGUUCAGUUGUGGUUGUGGAUGCAGUAUUUGUUGUUUCCAUGUAUAUAAGUUAUAACCAUUGUUGCACCUGAAGAAUCUGAUGAGGUUGCAGCUGGUUUUGCUGAGGUUGAAGUGGCAAGUACAGUUGUUCUUUCUGAAGCCGUAUAUCCUGAAGUUGAAGACUCCAUUUUUGAAGCACUGGAUUUUAAAAAGAAAAAUAAAUUAUAUACCUUUUAAAUUAUUAUUAACUUUUAAAAAAAAAAACAUGUUUGUAUUAGAUUAAAAAAGUAAUGACACAUAAUUGAAAUCCAAACAAUCACUUACCCAACUCUAGUCGCAGAAUUAAUAGCACACCACACAAACACUGUAAAGAGAAACAAAUUCCUGAAAACCUUUCAAGAAUCUUUGUUUAUGUUUAGCCAAAAGAAAGUAGAACACAUUCUUUAUUCCAUAUACAUAUUCCAUUAAUAUGAUAAAUUACACACAUUUUACAUUUACAAUACUUACACAGGGUGAAUAAAAGUUUCCUUGUGCCAUCCUGACUAGAAAGAAAAAAACUGCUGAAAGAGGAUACAAGACAUUAGAUAUUAUUUUAAUUGUUGUACGAUUGAUAAUUUUAUCUUUCAUAAAAUAAUAUCUACAAAUGAGUAAAAUUUCUGAUCAGCAAUUUGAGUUACACAUAAGGUAGUGCAAUAAAUAACAAAAACGUAGCGGGUAUUUGUAUCUAUAGCUGGGCUUUUGUGAUUGCAGCCAAUGAAAAUGCUUCUUUA